UGGGGAAUUUUGGACAAUGGGGGGAAACCCUGAUCCAGCCAUCCCGCGUGUGCGAUGAAGGCCUUCGGGUUGUAAAGCACUUUUGGCAGGAAAGAAACGUCGCGGGUUAAUACCCCGCGAAACUGACGGUACCUGCAGAAUAAGCACCGGCUAACUACGUGCCAGCAGCCGCGGUAAUACGUAGGGUGCAAGCGUUAAUCGGAAUUACUGGGCGUAAAGCGUGCGCAGGCGGUUCGGAAAGAAAGAUGUGAAAUCCCAGAGCUUAACUUUGGAACUGCAUUUUUAACUACCGGGCUAGAGUGUGUCAGAGGGAGGUGGAAUUCCGCGUGUAGCAGUGAAAUGCGUAGAUAUGCGGAGGAACACCGAUGGCGAAGGCAGCCUCCUGGGAUAACACUGACGCUCAUGCACGAAAGCGUGGGGAGCAAACAGGAUUAGAUACCCUGGUAGUCCACGCCCUAAACGAUGUCAACUAGCUGUUGGGGCCUUCGGGCCUUGGUAGCGCAGCUAACGCGUGAAGUUGACCGCCUGGGGAGUACGGUCGCAAGAUUAAAACUUAAAUGAAUUGAC
rnacentral:rRNA from 1 species